rnacentral:rRNA from 1 species
UACGAAGGGGGCUAGCGUUGCUCGGAAUUACUGGGCGUAAAGGGCGCGUAGGCGGCCUUCUAAGUCGAACGUGAAAUCCCUGGGCUCAACCCAGGAACUGCGUCCGAUACUGGAAGGCUUGAAUCCGGGAGAGGGAUGCGGAAUUCCAGGUGUAGCGGUGAAAUGCGUAGAUAUCUGGAGGAACACCGGUGGCGAAGGCGGCAUCCUGGAUCGGCAUUGACGCUGAGGCGCGAAAGCCAGGGGAGCAAACGGG